GAUGAACGCUAGCGGCAGGCUUAAUACAUGCAAGUCGAGGGGCUGCAUGAGUAGCAAUACUUGAUGGCGACCGGCAAACGGGUGCGGAACACGUACACAACCUUCCUUCGAGCGGGGAAUAGCCCAGGGAAACUUGGAUUAAUACCCCAUAGUAUAUUGAAAAGGCAUCUUUUUGAUAUUAAAGAUUUAUCACUUGAAGAUGGGUGUGCGGCUGAUUAGGUAGUUGGCAGGGUAACGGCCUACCAAGCCUACGACCAGUAGCUGAUGUGAGAGCAUGAUCAGCCACACGGGCACUGAGACACGGGCCCGACUCCUACGGGAGGCAGCAGUAAGGAAUAUUGGUCAAUGGACGAAAGUCUGAACCAGCCAUGCCGCGUGGAGGAUGAAGGUCCUCUGGAUUGUAAACUUCUUUUAUAAGGGACGAAAAAAGGGUAUUCUUACUCACUUGACGGUACCUUAUGAAUAAGCACCGGCUAACUCCGUGCCAGCCGCCGCCGUAAGAC
rnacentral:rRNA from 1 species